UAUGGACUAACGAGCUCAUUCCCAAGGUAAGGCAAUCUGGCCACUUGCAUAGUCCACAAAAUUACAUGUUUAAUUACAGACACUAAGAGUAGAAACACAAGAAGAUUAUGAAGCGCUCCUCAUCUUCUUCUUCCAUGGCAGUAGCCGUGGCAAUCCUGGCUAUCAUGUUCAUAUACUUCAGCCUUCCUUGCUCGGCGGCCGUCCAAGAUCUUCCAGAAGGAGGCCGUCCAGGAGUGGUUCCCCCGCCACCGAUCCCCGGGUCCGGGCGCCACAAGUGCCCUGGGUGCGACCACUCCAGAACUCCGCCGCCACCGCACCGCAAGACCCGACUGGUUGGUACAGCAAACUCCGUAAAAUCACAGAUGCGUCUUGCACAUUCACGUACGCAUGUCAUCAAAUCUGUGGGCGGGAGCCGUCAGCAAACCCUUUCCUGAAUUUUGCCAUGCAAGCUGUUCAAAGUGAGAUCCUGGAGGCCUUUCAUUUUGAAAACCAGCCAUCGAUGCUUUGUCCUACCUAGCCUAUGCCUCCUGCUUGUGUGUGAUGGAUGACCGUGCUAUGUACUGUGACGUGUAAUUAGUAGUUGUUACCGAUCAUCUAUAAAGGAAUAAAAAUUGUUCAGGUCUUUGCAUCGAA